rnacentral:rRNA from 1 species
UACGUAGGCAGCAAGCGUUGUUCGGAGUUACUGGGCUAAAGGGUGGUGUAGGCGGUUGGAUAAGUGUGGUGUGAAAUCUCCCGGCUUAACUGGGAGGGUGCGGCUACAAACUGUCUGACUAGAGUGUGGGAUGGGAGAGUGGAAUUCCUGGUGUAGCGGUGAAAUGCGUAGAUAUCAGGAGGAACACCGGUGGUGUAGACGGCUCUCUGGACCAUAACUGACGCUGAGACACGAAAGCGUGGGUAGCAAACAGG